AUUGAACGCUGGCGGCAGGCCUAACACAUGCAAGUCGAACGAGUGGCGGACGGGUGAGUAAUGUCUGGGAAACUGCCUGAUGGAGGGGGAUAACUACUGGAAAAGGUAGCUAAUACCGCAUACAAUAAGAUGUGCCCAGAUGGGAUUAGCUAGUUGGUGGGGUACCGGCUCACCAAGGCGACGAUCCCUAGCUGGUCUGAGAGGAUGACCGUCCACACGGGAACUGAGACACGGUCCAGCCUCCUACGGGAGGCAGCAGUGGGAAAUAUUUGACAAGGGGCGCAAGCCUGAUGCAGCAAUGCCGCGUGUAUGAAGAAGGCUUUCGGGUUGUAAAGUACUUUCAGCGGGGAGGCGUUACCCGCAGAAAAAGCCACGGCUAACUACGUGCCAGCAGCCGCGGUAAUAC
rnacentral:rRNA from 1 species